rnacentral:tRNA from 1 species
GCAAGGAUAGCUCAGCUGGGAGAGCAUCGGAUCGAUAAUCCGAAGGUCAGUGGUUCAAUCCCACUUCCUUGCA